rnacentral:rRNA from 1 species
UGGGGAAUCUUGCACAAUGGGGGAAACCCUGAUGCAGCGACGCCGCGUGAUUUAGAAGGCCUUCGGGUUGUAAAAAUCUUUUCUAUGGGAAGAAAAUGACAGUACCAUAGGAAUAAGGACCGGCUAAUUACGUGCCAGCAGCCGCGGUAAUACGUAAGGUCCGAGCGUUGUCCGGAAUCAUUGGGCGUAAAGGGUACGUAGGCGGGUAAGCAAGUUAGAAGUGAAAUCCUAUAGCUCAACUAUAGUAAGCUUUUAAAACUGCUCAUCUUGAGGUAUGGAAGGGAAAGUGGAAUUCCUAGUGUAGCGGUGAAAUGCGCAGAUAUUAGGAGGAAUACCGGUGGCGAAGGCGACUUUCUGGCCAUAACCUGACGCUGAGGUACGAAAGCGUGGGUAGCAAACAGG